rnacentral:lncRNA from 1 species
GAGUUCAAAACAUUAUUGUAAAACGGUACGUGUUGAUUAGUUAAAACAGUGUGUAUAGGGAUAGUCUAAUGAAACUGCGUUUUAAGGGGACUCACGGUCUGAGCUGUGAGAAGGGCCAACUAACUGUUCAGUCUGUCAUUCCUUCCUCUCGAUUCUCUCUUCUUCUUCUUCCUUUCUUUUCUAUCAAAAUUUCUCUCUCAGUAACAACCCCCCCCCCGAAUUGAAAUAGCACUAAUAAAAUCAACCGUAAAAAAAAGGAGGCAAAGAUUAUAAAGCAGCACGCAGCAGACGGUGAGUGUAUUUCCGACAGAAUCUGGUCAUGGCCGUCGGCCUCAUAUCAGUACCUUUUGUUCCUCACUAAUAUCACAAUAAUAGAACUCUAUCAUCGAUACAAGAAGCAGCUUAGGGCAUCGAUAGUUUCAUCCAUGUUUUAUUGUGAUAUUUGUGAAGAAAAGAAGGUAAGAAUAUGAUUUUCUUGUUUGAUUCAAACUCCACCCUCACCCUCGCCUUUUUGCAUAUUCAGCUAUACCCUCU